UACGUAGGGUGCGAGCGUUAAUCGGAAUUACUGGGCGUAAAGUGUGCGCAGGCGGCCGCGCAAGUCGAGUGUGAAAGCCCCGGGCUUAACUUGGGAAUUGCGCUCGAAACUACGUGGCUGGAGUGUGGCAGAGGAAGGUGGAAUUCCAGGUGUAGCGGUGAAAUGCGUAGAGAUCUGGAAGGAACACCGAUGGCGAAGGCAGCCUUCUGGGCCAACACUGACGCUCAUGCACGAAAGCGUGGGGAGCAAACAGG
rnacentral:rRNA from 1 species